CCGGCGGCGGCGGCGCGAGCGGCUCCCUCGUCCCCGCGCGGGCGGCGGCGGCAGCGUCGUCGAGCGGUGCAGACAAAGGAGGGGCGGAGGGAAGAGACGGAGGGUGUGGGAGAGGCCGCUUCACCGGCGCGGGCAGGCGGGCGGCGGCGGCCGCGCUCCUCUCGCUCCUCAGCUGCGGGGACCGAGAGAGGGAGCUGUGUCUGAGGAGACGCCAAAAUCCCCCUUAGCGCUGCCCGCGGGAGGGGGAGGGGGCACAAGAUGGCGGCGGCCGGGGGGGCGGGAGUUCAGCUCAUGGAUCCCGGCGGGCGGCGGAGGGGAGACCGGGCCGGCGGAGGCGGCGGCGGCAACGGGCGGGGGAGGGGGCUGAUCCCGCGUCUCCCCUCAGCAGACAAUACAAGCGUCUCGGAGCGAGUCCCCGAACCUGCCCUAGCCAAAAUGGCGGCCGAGAAAGAGCGGAAGUGACGAAAUGGGCAAUGGGCAUCAUCCUUCAUUUUAAAGUAGAGUGGCUGUUGGCUAUGGCAAGAGGAAAACCAGCAAAUCAACUCAUCCCAGAAUGCUGAGUGGUCAGAUGAAAAAAGGGCAAGGAUGGAGAAGGUCCAAGGGGCUUUUGUGUAUUGGAGAUAUAAGCAGAGACAGUAUCUCUGAGGUGACUUCAUGCAGAGAUCAAAGGAUGAGAAUUUGGCCGCUAAGGAGCAGGAAGAGAGCAUCGCAAGCAAAGAGAACAUAGUGCUGUGUGAGCAGAUGGGAGGAGUGUGCCUGCAGCAAAGAGCGCAAAGCAGUGAGGUACAAGGAAAUCACCAGAAAUGCUUACAUACACAUUUUGAAGAGAAGAAAUUGGUAAGCACAGAAAAGCAUACAUUAGUCCUCUAAAGGUGAUCCUGAACUAUAAUUAAAUACUGUUUAUUCUCAAUCAAAAAUGUCUCUCAAUUCCAUUCUUCCCUUCCAACUGCCCCUUGGUCCAGACACCAUCGUUUGGUGCUUGGAACCCUCCCUAACAAGUUUCCCUGCUUCUGCUCGUCCCAUCGCUCCUGGCCCACUGCCAUAAAGGUUCUGCUGAGAAUGUCUCCCACACUGUAGGCGGCCGGUACCCUAGAACCCCGCUGAUAUUUGGGGCCAAAGGUGCAGCUAGCCACCUCUCAUGCCCAAAGUUCCUCAGGGACCUGGUAGGUAAAGUAACUGGUCAGGAGCAGGAUUUGGGGAUUCCUGCAUUUUCUAGCCCCAAAUCACCACAGUACCUUAUUGGCUAAGGCUGCUCUCUUCUAACUUCUUUUGUAAAGAAGUUUCUAUCAGAGCCUUUUGGAUAUACCACCAACUGGUUAGUAAUUCUUGGUUGUUUUCACUGCAGUGUCCAGAUUAUUUCAAUUCCGAAGAACCCUCUGGAUUCAGAUUCAGAACAUUUGAUGAUGCCAGGGAACUGAUGGUCUUCAGAAUAGCAGAUAUUAAUUUUUAAGAACUGUGCUUCCUUUAUGCUCCCUCCAAUUUUUCAGUGAAAAUUAUACCAAUCCUCAACAUGAGCAACUGUGACUAACAACAGAAAUAAAGGCAUUCAGAUUUUCAUCUCAGAACAACUAAGCUCAUCUGAGGUUUUCUAUAACUCUGUUUAAAAACAGAAAAGCUUUGUUUUUUUAAAAAAAUAAAGAGUAACUUUUUAAAACAUAAAGAACUGUUGUUCAGAGGUUUACAAUGAAGGCAGUGUGCUGGUCCAAGACGUUUGCCCUCACAUCCUUACUCUGUUCUAUAUUGCAGAGAACUUAUUUCCCAGGUUCUCAUCAUUGGCUUCCAAACAGCUUUGGGAGGCAGAGGGGAAGCUUCUGAGGAGAGAGAAGGGGAAAGUCUAAGCGUCCUCCCUCUUACUCUGCCUCCCAGCACUGACUGCAUAUCCUCAGUGGCUCCAGCUCCCGCCAGGUGCCAGGUAUCCCCAGCUCCAUCAUGCUAGCCUCCUCGGGCAGCCUGGGUUCCUGGACUCUGAAUGCAGCAUCUCCACCUGCUGUUGCUCCAUGUUGGGGUGGUAGGAACCUCUAGCUAUUACUAAUCUCUGAGCAGCCUCACUGUUCCAUUUGGCUUCUCAGCAAUUCCUUCACCUGUGUAACCAGAUUCUCUGUAUUAAAUUCCCUAUAUUGAAAGACUUACAGUGGUUUCUGUUUUCCCAAGUGGGCCUUGACUGAUACAGGCAACUCAAGUCAUUUAAAUGUCAUUAAGAUCAUUAAAAACCAUCACAGGAGGUUACUGUAUUUUGGCCCUGUUCCAAACAAGGAAAAUACACACUGGAUAAUCUUACCAAGGCCAGGAGCGGGUAUGAGGGGUGAGGCCUU